UACGUAGGGGGCAAGCGUUGUUCGGAAUUACUGGGCGUAAAGGGCGCGUAGGCGGCACGGCAAGUCAGGAGUGAAAGCCCUGGGCUCAACCCGGGAACUGCUUUUGAAACUGCCGAGCUAGAGUGCGGAAGGGGCAACUGGAAUUCCCAGUGUAGCGGUGAAAUGCGUAGAUAUUGGGAAGAACACUUGAGGCGAAGGCGGGUUGCUGGGCCGACACUGACGCUGAGGCGCGAAAGCCAGGGGAGCGAACGGG
rnacentral:rRNA from 1 species